rnacentral:rRNA from 1 species
AUGGUACUCACGUCAGAGCUACCAUUCCUGCUGGCGAUGAAGUUAGAUACAUUGGAAGGUCAGGAUCAACAACACAGAAUGUUCUGGCAAUAUGUGAUUUUGACAUGCAUUUCAUGUACACUUCAGUUGGUCAACCCGGCUCUAUGCAUGAUACCGGUGUCUUGUAUCAUGCAAUUGAAGCUGACAAAGAUACCUUCCCUCAUCCUCCAAAGGGUAAGUACUAUCUUGUGGACGCGGGCUAUCCUAAUAGACCUGGAUAUCUCGCACCUUACAAGGGGGAAAGGUACCACGUGCCUGAUUUUCAACGAGGUGUGGCGCCAAGAACACCUAAGGAGAAAUUUAACGAGAUACACUCAUCCAAGCGUAAUGUGA